rnacentral:rRNA from 1 species
CAGUCGCCGCGGUAAUGCGUAGGGUGCGAGCGUUAAUCGGAAUUACUGGGCGUAAAGCGUGCGCAGGCGGUUGUGUAAGACAGGUGUGAAAUCCCCGGGCUUAACCUGGGAACUGCGCUUGUGACUGCACAGCUAGAGUAUGGCAGAGGGGGGUGGAAUUCCACGUGUAGCAGUGAAAUGCGUAGAGAUGUGGAGGAACACCGAUGGCGAAGGCAGCCCCCUGGGCCAAUACUGACGCUCAUGCACGAAAGCGUGGGGAGCAAACAGGAUUAGAUACCCGCGUAGUCCCUGUCUCUUAUAC